GUGCUUUCUUUGGCAGCACAUAUACUAUAAUUGGAAUGCUACAGAGAAUAUUAGCAUGGUCCCUGUACAAGGAUGACAUGCAAAUUCAUGAAGUAUUUAACAUUUUA
ensembl:snRNA U6 U6 spliceosomal RNA